rnacentral:lncRNA from 1 species
AUGUGCGGCCCUGAGCUGUGGCAGGGAUGUGGCAACGCAGAAGGGAGCCAGGGGAUGGGCUCCCAGCAAUCUGGGGGCCAUGGAGACUGGUUUGAGUACAGGGGGAGUGGGCUAGGGCUAGCCCUGGUGGUAGGAUUCACAGGUGUUAGGCUCCUGGGCUGCAGCUGCUCAGUCACCUCCUGGCACUCAGGUGCAUCAGUUCAUUGUCCUCAUGCUAGUGAUGGGGGCAGCCCUAAUGCACAGGGUCUGAAAAAUGCUCAGGUGUACCUGCAGUGUGUGAGAGGAAGGAGGCUGGCGAAGGUAGGUGUGGCCACCUCGCCAGGUGUGGGUCUUGAGGGAACUUCUGCUUCCUUUCAGGUGGCACAGAAUGUGGCCCUGUACACAGGCGACCCCAACCUGGAGCUGGAGCUGUUUGAGGCAGCUGGAGACAUCUUCUUCAAUGGGGCCUGGGAGCAGGAGAAAGCCGUGUCCUUCUACCGGGACCAGGCCCUGCCCCUGGCAGUGACUACGGGCAACCGCAAGGCGGAGCUGCGGCUGUGCAACAAACUGGUGGCACUGCUGUCCACGCUGGAGGAGCCCCAGGAGGGCUUGGAGGUUGCCCACAUGGCCCUAGCACUCAGCAUCACUCUGGGGGACCGGCUAAACGAGCGCGUGGCCUACCACCGGCUGGCCGCCCUGCACCACCGGCUGGGCCAUGGCAAGCUGGCGGAGCACUUCUACCUCAAGGCCGUUUAUCGCUCUGCAACUCGCCGCUGGAGUUCGACGAGGAGACCCUCUACUACGUGAAGGUGUAGCUGGUGCUCGGUGACAUCAUCUUCUACGACCUGAUGGUGGGUGGGGAGGGGCAGGGCUUGGGGUGUUCCCGGCCCCCUUGGAGUGGGAUCUCCACCCAGACCCCAGAGGCCUGGGUUCCAGCCUUUCUUAGGAAUGGCCCAGUGGCCUCCCUGGAGCUCUGCACCCAGCUGGAGGAGCCGGCAAGGUUCGCAGAUACAACCCAGCUCCCAAGCUGGCCAGGCCCCACCCUCAAGAACUCAGUCUCAGCCAGGGAGGCUGACACAUGAGUGGGCAAUGGUGGCCUCUGGGUAAAGAAGGGGGAUUGUAGUCAGGGGGGCUCUCCUGGAGGAGGUGACACCAAAGCUGAGUCUUGACAGCUAAGUGUCAAGUUGCAUUUAACAAAAAAAACAGUCAGGAGAAGGACAUUUCUGAAGACAGCAUCAUCCUCACAUUGAAUCCACAUUGCAAGAUCCAACCCAAAUCCCGGCGCCUCCUCUAGGAAGCCUGCCCAGGAUGCCAGCCCGCACUGAGCAACUCCUUCCUGGAGUCCCGAGACACCUUGAAUCUUCACAUCACCCAGGAAGGGUGGGGUAGGGCCGGUGUCUUACCAUCUGCUUCACAGACAGGGAAACCCCAGCUCAGGGCAGGUGCAGUGGGGCCGGGUCCCAGCCAGCCAGACUGAGGCCUUGCUGGGUCAGGUCUGUCUGGAGGGGAGGUGCUGGGACCAGUGCUCCCUCUGUCCCCAGCCCUGCAGGGCUGGAGAGCUGGGACUGGCAGACUCUGACCUGGGGUGUCUCCACCCCUCUGCCCAGCAGGCGCCCGCCCCUCCUAGCAUCACACCGGCACCGUGUCAGUGCUCCUUAUGGGCUGAGGGGCCAGGGCGCUCCAGUCCAGGGACCGAGAUCUUGGGGGCCUUAGAACAACAUGAGGAGCUGGGGCAGCCCUAAGACCCCGCCCCAUAUCCCCCACCGCAGGCCUGGUGCUACCUGGGAGGCCCCGCCCAGUGCUGGCGACACCUGGUGGUCAGAAGCGGUCCCUGUGGCCUCCCAAGUCCCAGCCAGACAGGGAGGUGCCAGGUGUCAGGCCCAGAGGGACGCUGCUCACCGCUCAGGGGCUCACCUGUGACCCAGGGGACGGGCCUCCCAGAAGAGGCCUUUAUCUCUCUUGGUCAAGCCUGCCGCCCACUCCGCCUGCCCAGGAGCAAGGAAAGGGCCAGGUAGUACCUGAGAGGCCAAAGUCCACGGUUGGGGUCGAGGGGCAGAGGCCUCCUUCACCGCCUUCCCAUGCACAGCCCUCUGGGCCUCAUCGUGACUAUGCUGUCAGCACAGGCCAGCUUCCCACAGGAGGUCCCCUCAGAAUUCCCCAGGGGGAAUAUUGGGCAUAGUGUCCCAGGGGGGUGUACACCUUCUUUGAUAUUGGGAGCAAUAUCAUCCUCUCCCCUCAGGAUUGCAGGCAAAAUAUCGAAGGGGUUCUACAACUCGUGUGAUAUGGGCAGUAAUAUCAUCCUCUCCCCACCUAGAUGUUAGGAACUAUAUCACAGGCGGCUGUACACUUCUUGCGAUAUUGGGAUUCUUAUCAUCCUCUCCCAUCAUGGAUAUUAAGAAAAAUAUUACAAAGGAGGUGUACACCCCCUGUGAUAUUGAGAGUAAUAUUAUGUUCUCCCCUUCAGCAUAUUAGGAACAAUAUGGCAGGAGGUGUGUACAACCCCUGCGAUGUUGGGUGUAAUAUCAUCCUCUCCCCCUUGAAUAGAAGAAACAAUAUCACAGGAGGAUGUACACCCCCUAUGAUAUUGGGAGUCAUAUCAUUUUCUCUCCCUCUGGAUAUUCGGAACAAUAUCACCGUGGGUGUGUACACCCCCUGCGAUAUUGCAACUGCUAUCAUCGUCUCCCUCCCAGGAUAUAAGGAACAAUAUCACAACGGGGUGUAUACCCCCUAUGAUAUCGGGGGUAAUAUCUUCCUCUCCCCCGCUGGCUAUUGGGAACAAUGUCACAGAAGGGGUGUACACCUCCUGCUUUAUUGGGAGUGAUAUCCUCCUCUCCGUCCCCAGAUAUUAGGAACAAUAUCACCAGGGAGUGUACACCUCCUGCAAUAUUGAGACUGAUAUCAUCCUCUCGCCCCCUGAAUAUUAGGAACAGUAUCACAGGGGUGGUAUACACCACCUGCGAAAUUGGAAGAAAUAUCAUCCUCUCCUCCUUUGGAUGUUAGGGACAAUAUCACGGGGGAGGUAUACGCCCCCUGCGAUAUUGGGAGUCACAUCAUCCUCUCCCACCCACGAUACAAGGAACAAGAUGACCGAAAGGAUGUACAUCCACUGGGAUAGUUUCAAUAUUGUCAUCCUCUACCCCCUGGCUAUUAGAAAUAACAUAAUAGAGGAGUGUACACUUUCUUCGAUAUUGGGAGUAAUAUCAUUCCCUCCUCGCCAGAUAUCAGGAACAAGUCUAUUAAUUAUUAAUAUUAAUAAAUAUAAUAAAAAUUAAUAGUAAUCAUCGAUAUUAAUAAUCACAAUGAAGAUAGUAAAAAGUAACAUUGGUUAAAAUGUUAAACAUAAGUAUUAAUAGUUAAUAAUAAUAUCACUAUUAAUGAAAUACUAAUAUCAGGAAUUAAAGUUACUUAAAUCAACACUAAGUGAUCUCGGUAAAAAAUUAAUUGAUAUUAAAAAUUAUUUUUAAAUAUUAAUAUUAAUAAUUAACGUUAAAUGUGCAUAAUCAUAUACUUAAAAUAAUUAUUUAUAAUUAAUAAUAGUAUCUUAUUAAUUAAUAGUAUCAUUGAUAAUUAUUAAAAUCGAUCAUUGAUGUUUAAUAACUAAUCAUAGCAUUAUUCCUACUACUGCAGAGGGUGUACAUCCCCCCUGAGAUAUUGUUCUUGCCAUUCAAAACAGGAGAGGAUUACAUGACUCCAGAUAUCAAAGAAAGUGCAAGACGAAGAGCAUGAUAUUACUCCCAAAACAGAUGGGUGUACACCCUCUGAGGGCGCACACACUGAGGGUGUACAUUCGUCAGUGAAAGACUUCAUAAUUUCCAGACAGGGAGAUGAUAUUACAGAUAAAAUCAUAAACAGGCUGAGAGUCCACCAUGGCUGGUCCUCACCUCGAGGGGGGUGCCUCACCCCCUCCCCCCGGCAAGGUGGCUCCCAAUAGCCAAGGUGGGGAGAGGGGGUGGCUAUUGGUCCCCACCUCGCGGGAGGUGCCUCAUCCCCCUCCCCCGCGAGGUGGCUCCCAAUAGCCAAGCGGGGGAGAGGGGGUGGCUAUUGGUCCCCACCUCGCGGGGUGGGUGUAAUAUUGUGAGUAAUAUCAUCCUUUCCCAGGUGGAAAUUUGGAACAGUAUCACCGGGGACAUGUACCCCCCCUGCGAUAUUGAAAGUAAUAUCAUCCUCUUCCUUCCUGGAUCAUGGGAACGUCAUCACUGACGGGUGUACACUUUCUGCGAUAUUCGGGGUAACAUCAUCUUGUCUGCCUUGGAAUAUUAAGGACCAUAUCACAGGGAGGCUUGUACAUCUUCUGCAAUAUUGGGAAUGAAAUUGUCCUCUCUUUCCCUGCAAAUUAGUAACGAUAUCACAGAAUGAGUGUUCACCUCCUGCGAUAAUUACCACCUUCUCCCCCUCCGGAUAUCAGGAAGAGUAUCACACGAGGGUGUACAGUGUCUGCGAUACUGGGAGUAAUAUCAUCCUUUCGGCCUUGAGAUAUUAUGAAGAAUAUCACAGGGUGGAUGUUCACCGCCUGCUAUAUUGGGAGUAAUAUCAGCCUCUCCCUUCCGUGGAUAUUAGGAACAAUAUCCCACGCUGGGUUUACGCCUCCUGCUCUAUGGGGAGUCAUAUCAUCCUCUCCCUUCCAGCAUAUUAAUAACAACAUCACAGGGCGGGUGAACACAGCCCGUGAUACUGGAAUUAUUAGCCUCCUCUCCCCCUCCGGAUACUAGGAACAAUAUCAGAGAAGAGCUCUAACUUCCCUGCGAUUUCGGGAGUAAUAUCAUACGCUUCCUCCGUGAAUAUUAGGAGCAAUAUCACCAGGUGGCUGUCCAUUCAUUGCUAUGUUGGGAGUCAUGUCAUACUCUACCCCCCUAGAUAUUAGGAUCAGUGUCACAGGGUGAGUGUGCACUUACUGCGAUAUUAAAACUAAUAUCAUGCUCUCCGUUCCUGGAUAUUAGGAACGACAUCACAGGUAGGUAUACACCCCCUGCGAUAUUAGGAGUCAUAAUAUGAUUAAUUAUUAAACACCAAUGAUUGAUUUUAAUAAUUAUCAAUGAUACUAUUAAUUAAUAGGAUAUAAUUAUUAAUUAUGGAUAAUUAUGUUACAUAUAUGAUUAUGCAGGCUUCAAAUUAAUUAUUAAUAUUAAUGUUAUUUCAC